GACGAACGCUGGCGGCGUGCCUAAUACAUGCAAGUAGAACGCACAGUUUAUACCGUAGCUUGCUACACCAUAGACUGUGAGUUGCGAACGGGUGAGUAACGCGUAGGUAACCUGCCUGGUAGCGGGGGAUAACUAUUGGAAACGAUAGCUAAUACCGCAUCAUAUUAAUUAUUGCAUGAUAAUUAAUUGAAAGGUGCAAUUGCACCACUACCAGAUGGACCUGCGUUGUAUUAGCUAGUAGGUGAGGUAACGGCUCACCUAGGCGACGAUACAUAGCCGACCUGGGAGGGUGAUCGGCCACACUGGGACUGAGACACGGCCCAGACUCCUACGGGAGGCAGCAGUAGGGAAUCUUCGGCAAUGGACGAAAGUCUGACCGAGCAACGCCGCGUGAGUGAAGAAGGUUUUCGGAUCGUAAAGCUCUGUUGUAAGAGAAGAACGGGUGUGAGAGUGGAAAGUUCACACUGUGACGGUAUCUUCCCAGAAAGGGACGGCUAACUACGUG
rnacentral:rRNA from 1 species